rnacentral:rRNA from 1 species
GUGGGGAAUUUUGGACAAUGGGCGCAAGCCUGAUCCAGCAAUGCCGCGUGCAGGAAGAAGGCCUUCGGGUUGUAAACUGCUUUUGUACGGAACGAAACGGUCCUGGUUAAUACCUGGGGCUAAUGACGGUACCGUAAGAAUAAGCACCGGCUAACUACGUGCCAGCAGCCGCGGUAAUACGUAGGGUGCGAGCGUUAAUCGGAAUUACUGGGCGUAAAGCGUGCGCAGGCGGUGCUGUAAGACAGGCGUGAAAUCCCCGGGCGCAACCUGAGAAUUGCGCUUGUGACUGCAGUGCUGGAGUACGGCAGAGGGGGAUGGAAUUCCGCGUGUAGCAGUGAAAUGCGUAGAUAUGCGGAGGAACACCGAUGGCGAAGGCAGUCCCCUGGGCCUGUACUGACGCUCAUGCACGAAAGCGUGGGGAGCAAACAGGAUUAGAAACCCCGGUAGUCC